UGUCACCAAAUUUUUCUUAAUGAAAAUCUAAUAAUUUUAUUUUACUUUUCAUUGGAAAAAUGAUGUUUGGGUUUUUGUUGUGUUGCGGUGGGUAUUACUCGUUACAAUCAUCGACUGGGGUUUUGGAACAUGGAAGAGCCGCUCAAAAUCGAACAGUCGCGUAAACCUUGAUUCCGAAGAACCGCUGGAAUCAAAACAUAAUCGAAUAUCGGAAGUUUUAAUUGGCUGAAUCAAGUAUAGAAUAGGAACAUAGGACCACACAAACUUUCGAACAUAGAAUCGAGUUCUGGAGUUUUCAGACAUAGAAUCAGAAGUUUUGGUGGUAUCGAAGCAUACAACCUCAAAAUUUGAUCUCUGUAUGUUUCCCUACACCUUGUUUCAUUAUUUUCUGAAGCUGUUUUCCGUCAUUGUUCAGAUAGAAAGAAGAGAUGGCUACGUGUUCCGAAAAGUUUAAAUUCUUGUCCGAGAGUGAUGAUGAUGACCCUUCUUAUAGUGUUCAAGAAAAUGAUGAACUAAAUGAUUGCUUUAUCGGAGAAUGAUGUUUCCUUAAAUCAUGGUUUAGAUGUUGAGUUAGGUUGGGAUCCAUGAAUAACAGUGCAGAAGAUAGCUUUUUGAACAGAUGUGUGAUGAGCAUGUGUUAUCUCUUGAUUUAGAAACAGAAGAAACUGUAUGCCAAUUGUGUUGUAGAAGAAUUGUUUUAGAAGUUUUUUUUUAUCAUGGUUUCCUCAACCAAUUUAUGGUUUCCACCAGAUGAGUGGUUGAUAUAAUAUCUUACUGUAACACCUCCUUAUUUACAAUCAUUGUUUUUAUUAGGACUUAUAUCAUUGUAUUGUUAAAUCUGUAUCUAAAUCAUAUCAAGUUUAAAGUUUUGAUCUUGGAUUUGACUUGUAUGUGUAGGGGCCAAUGGAAACAAAAGUAAAAUAUUAUAGAGAUCUACUGAGAGAGAAAGGAGAAUCUGAAGAAAGCUUCUGCUGAAAUUUCACAACGGAAUUUGAAAUAACUUUUAAUUAUCAGCGGUGUUAAGGAGAUCAAGCAGAAUUUCUGAGGGAUUUCAGAGUUUCAAGUAAUCUUCAGGCGCUCCAAUCUUAGAUAGAUCCACCUCAGCCUCAUCAUUUGAGGAUGAAGCCCCAAUUAUUUCAUCAUCACUACGCUCGAUGUGUUGCUUCAUUUCAUCUAGUUUGGAUCUUAGUUGCAUGAGCCCAUGUAUCCCAAGGCUUCCGAUAUAUUCCUCAUGCGUUUCACAACCCAACAUCGCCUUUAAACGUUCUUUCAACAUCUGUCCCCGUUUCUUCUCAUUUGCUAAUUGCUCAUUCAAUUCAUCGAGUUCUUGAUUGAGAUUCUGCAAUCUGGAUUCAUUGAACACCGGGGCUUCCAAAAGAGAGAGGCUUUCCACUUAAGGAGAAGACGAUGAUUGCAAUCUGUACGCCACAUAGCGUCGCGAGCUCAUUGGCUUUCUUGAAUAAUCCGCCAUAUCGCUUUGUCAAGGCUUCCAAAAGAGAGAGGCUUUCCACUGAUGGAGAAGAAAGUGAUUUCCAGCUGUAUGCCACACUGUGUGAACCUGAUGUAACCUCAACUACUCAAGAGUGGAAGAUAAGGCAACCCAGGAAACAUAAAAGGAAAGAGUUAGAACAAAGAGGAAGACAGAAUUUAGAAGAGACGUGUUCAUCUUUUGGUGAGUUUGAACCACAUUUAUAUAGAAUAACUCAGUUAAGAGCAGAGAGGUGACCGAAUGUGGGGCUUUAAAUAGGUGAAUGAAAUAGGAAUGGCUCUCUUUAAUUUGGUUGGCACUCUUUGAAAUGGACUGAUUGACAUGGGAGCAGUUAUA